CGCUCGGCCCCGGUUCCCGGACCCGCCUCCACCCCUCGCAGCAUCCUCUCUUCCCCCUGGAUCUCCGGGCAGGGUCUGGGGCCCCUCGGUGCCGUCCCUCAGGGAUUCCGGUUCCCCCGCACCACGGGUGUGAAUGUCCGCGGGAUCCCCGGGGGCAGCCGGGCUCAGCCCGGCACCGUGUACAGAGACCCCACGGCUCCCGCAGGCACCUGCCCUUGCAACGACAGCCCCCCAAGCCUGUCCUGCCUGACCUUGCCCCAUCACCGUCGCCCUGCGCGGCCGGGGCCGACCGGGCAGCGAAAUCCCCUGCUAAGCUCCUCUGUGGAAUGGCCUCGUUUUCCCAGAGUCUCCGGGGCUGUCGCUGCCUGCGAUGGCCGGAGCCCACAGAGAUGCUCAGUGAUGGAGACGGACGAGGGGAGCACAGAGCAGCUCCUGGCACCCUCUGGCCCCAGCGUCUCCAUCACAGCGCGGCCCCUGAGUCACAGCUGUGCCUCAGUUUCUCCCGCCACCUCCUUGAGCUGCCCCCCACUGCCCACAGCUCCGGGGACAGCUCCAGCACCUGUGGGUUCUCUGGCAAGGGGCCAUAGCCCUGGGACCCACCAGUACCUGCCAUGGCUCCAAGCCCUGAUCCAAGGCUGCUGCUCUCCAUGCGUUUCUGCAUGGCAGGUGCACCCUGGGAUUUGCUUGAUUCAAAAUCCCUGUAGCCAAGACCCUUUCCUUCCUCCACUGCAGCACCAGGAACAGCCUUCCACUGUCUGAUGGUGCAGCAGGCAGAGCAGUGCUGGCGGGCUGACACUGCUGGGAUUCCUGCAGGAAUGUCCCUGGGAGCUGUGGGCAUUGCUGAGCACACUGGGGCCAGCAGUACGUGCCCUGGGGGCCGGGCUGAGCACCAGGAACUCGUUGCACUGACGAGUGGCACAGGAGCCAGGGGAGAAGCUGGGAGCAGGGUCAGGCCUGUCCCCUCUGCAUACACGAGGCCAAGAGACCCCCGAGACCCCUGCACCAUG
rnacentral:lncRNA from 1 species